rnacentral:ncRNA from 1 species
AUUUAUAAGAAUAUGAUGUUGGUUCAGAUUAAGCGCUAAAUAAGGACAUGACACAUGCGAAUCAUACGUUUAUUAUUGAUAAGAUAAUAAAUAUGUGGUGUAAACGUGAGUAAUUUUAUUAGGAAUUAAUGAACUAUAGAAUAAGCUAAAUACUUAAUAUAUUAUUAUAUAAAAAUAAUUUAUAUAAUAAAAAGGAUAUAUAUAUAAUAUAUAUUUAUCUAUAGUCAAGCCAAUAAUGGUUUAGGUAGUAGGUUUAUUAAGAGUUAAACCUAGCCAACGAUCCAUAAUCGAUAAUGAAAGUUAGAACGAUCACGUUGACUCUGAAAUAUAGUCAAUAUCUAUAAGAUACAGCAGUGAGGAAUAUUGGACAAUGAUCGAAAGAUUGAUCCAGUUACUUAUUAGGAUGAUAUAUAAAAAUAUUUUAUUUUAUUUAGUUCCGGGGCCCGGCCACGGGAGCCGGAACCCCGAAAGGAGAAAUAUUUAAUAUUUAUAAUAAUAAUAAUAAUAAUAUAUAUAUAUAAAUUGAUUAAAAAUAAAAUCCAUAAAUAAUUAAAAUAAUGAUAUUAAUUACCAUAUAUAUUUUAUAUGGAUAUAUAUAUUAAUAAUAAUAUUAAUUUAUUAUUAUUAAUAAUAUAUUUUAAUAGUCCUGACUAAUAUUUGUGCCAGCAGUCGCGGUAACACAAAGAGGGCGAGCGUUAAUCAUAAUGGUUUAAAGGAUCCGUAGAAUGAAUUAUAUAUUAUAAUUUAGAGUUAAUAAAAUUAAUUAAAGAAUUAUAAUAGUAAAGAUGAAAUAAUAAUAAUAAUUAUAAGACUAAUAUAUGUGAAAAUAUUAAUUAAAUAUUAACUGACAUUGAGGGAUUAAAACUAGAGUAGCGAAACGGAUUCGAUACCCGUGUAGUUCUAGUAGUAAACUAUGAAUACAAUUAUUUAUAGUAUAUAUUAUAUAUAAAUAAUAAAUGAAAAUGAAAGUAUUCCACCUGAAGAGUACGUUAGCAAUAAUGAAACUCAAAACAAUAGACGGUUACAGACUUAAGCAGUGGAGCAUGUUAUUUAAUUCGAUAAUCCACGACUAACCUUACCAUAUUUUGAAUAUUAUAAUAAUUAUUAUAAUUAUUAUAUUACAGGCGUUACAUUGUUGUCUUUAGUUCGUGCUGCAAAGUUUUAGAUUAAGUUCAUAAACGAACAAAACUCCAUAUAUAUAAUUUUAAUUAUAUAUAAUUUUAUAUUAUUUAUUAAUAUAAAGAAAGGAAUUAAGACAAAUCAUAAUGAUCCUUAUAAUAUGGGUAAUAGACGUGCUAUAAUAAAAUGAUAAUAAAAUUAUAUAAAAUAUAUUUAAUUAUAUUUAAUUAAUAAUAUAAAACAUUUUAAUUUUUAAUAUAUUUUUUUAUUAUAUAUUAAUAUGAAUUAUAAUCUGAAAUUCGAUUAUAUGAAAAAAGAAUUGCUAGUAAUACGUAAAUUAGUAUGUUACGGUGAAUAUUCUAACUGUUUCGCACUAAUCACUCAUCACGCGUUGAAACAUAUUAUUAUCUUAUUAUUUAUAUAAUAUUUUUUAAUAAAUAUUAAUAAUUAUUAAUUUAUAUUUAUUUAUAUCAGAAAUAAUAUGAAUUAAUGCGAAGUUGAAAUACAGUUACCGUAGGGGAACCUGCGGUGGGCUUAUAAAUAUC